CAGUCGCGUUGGUUGGGAAUCAGUCUUGCUUCUGCAUGAUGUACUUUCCAGUCAAUGGGUCAGCAUCAGUUUUGACUGCUGGAUAAAGGCUGAGGGAAUGUGGCACCUUUGGGUGUGUUAUAGCCCUUGGUUGUAUACCGUGGUUGGGACUGAGGAACGCAGCGCGCCAUUUUGGCCGGGGGUCGCUCCUCUCGACACGCGCUUAGGAUGCUGGCAUAAUGGCUUUAAGCGGCCCGUCUUGAAACACGGACCAAGGAGUCUAACAUAUAUGCGAGUGUU
rnacentral:rRNA from 1 species